UACGGGGGGGGGCAAGCGUUGUUCGGAAUUACUGGGCGUAAAGGGCUCGUAGGUGGCCAACUAAGUCAGACGUGAAAUCCCUCGGCUUAACCGGGGAACUGCGUCUGAUACUGGAUGGCUUGAGUUUGGGAGAGGGAUGCGGAAUUCCAGGUGUAGCGGUGAAAUGCGUAGAUAUCUGGAGGAACACCGGUGGCGAAGGCGGCAUCCUGGACCAUGACUGACGCUGAGGAGCGAAAGCGUGGGGAGCAAACAGG
rnacentral:rRNA from 1 species